UGGGGCAUGGCUCAGUGGUAGAGUGUUUACCUAGCAUGCUUGAGGCCCUGGGUUCAGUCCCUAGUGCUGCAA
rnacentral:tRNA from 1 species